GCUCAGACACACGACAGUGUUCAUUUCUCUCACUUCGUUGUCAUUUCGAACCCUAUGCGUUCUAUCUAACAUGGAAGGUCGAAUUAGGAAUACUCAGUGGAGGACAAUCGAAACAGAGGGCCUACUACACGGAGGUAAAAUGAGUGUAUGAGUACGAUAUUGCUAGGUGGAGGAAAAUAACACAUGGAACGAAGAAAAUGGAGGAGGUGACAGGCGAAGCCAAAGGCCUACUUCGGUUUGUUUGGCCAAUCCAGUAAGUUCUGGAUGCCUCGGAGAAGUCAGAAUCAUUUUUUUGAAAAUAUACGGGCCCCUUAUGAAUCAAAAUUUUGCGAUUUCUCUCUGUAAAAUUUUCAAGUAAAUAAUCAGCGGGGUCAUGUGAUAUUUCUUCUGUGUUGGAAAACUAUUGUUCAGCUGACACAGUUGUCGUUGUUGGUGAAGUCACCGAAGUUGUUGCACUUCCGUCAUAGGGACGGUCGCUUUCUGAUUCAAUCUCGUUUGCUAAAUUAAUAUAAAUCUGAAAUUAGUGUAGAUCAUGAACAUUCAGAAAUUUCCGUAAUUUGUGGUCGACACGAGUCAUCAUGUGAAGAUUUUCUUAUUUGAUUGCUACUUACGGAUGUUGCUCUAGCAGUAGCAGUAAAAUACGCUGUUCAUUUUGGUUGGUUACUUUUCAGUUACUUCCUUCUGAUGUACAGCUUUUUCCUUUCUGCUAGGAUAUGACCGUUUCGACAUUUUAUAUUAUAAUUCAGCAUUUAUGUUUACACCGAAAUUAGUCGCUAACCCAAAACAAAACAGGGAAACGACUAUUUAAUCAAAGAAUACCUCAGAGCACAGUCAGUAACAACUACGAACAAAGCGAACAUCACAACACUGCAGACAAAAGCAGGUAAUUUCCCGACUGUCGAGUCGGUUUAUUGAAGUCGACCGGUGACUAAUUUUACUUCGCAAUUCGCUCCGUGCAGAACUGCGCAAAGUUAAUAAGCAAGUAGGUAUUGUAGUCGCUCAUUAUUGUUCAUUUCUUUUCGAAAUAAAUUUGUUUUUUGGUAAUAAAUACCGGUUAUCAUUUAGUGAUUGGCAAAAACUAGGAGGCCCUUAUCGAUCGCGGGGCCCUGGGCACGUGCGCAGAGUGCCCAGUGGAAAAGAGCGCCCGCAAUUUCUUGUAUUGAGAUAGGGAACCAAUGUUCGGAAAUGCAUAUUUACUGGGUUAUGGACAUACGCAGUGUACACCGCAUAAUAGCAAUGCAGCUUACAGUAACUGUAUAAAGCGACUAUCGCCCGUCUCAAUUCGUGUGUUGAAACGACGCAUGCAGUUGUGUUGCACUCUCGCUAGCAUCCCGGGUGUCUGUCACGCUUGAACAGGCAGCGGGCAACAAAUAGCGUGCCUCCCAGAGCACCAAGCAGACAUUCUGUGCACAGCUUCGCUCAUAGCACGUAUGACUUGUGACGAACACAUGAAUCGCACUGCCGCAUCAACCUGUGCCGCAUGCACACCACUACCCCUGGUGUCAGUUAUCCACUGCAUUAGACAGCUUGUGAUAUGUUCAUGGUCAGAUGUAUUACUAUACACAGUGCAUGACGCGGAAUCAGAGAUAUUACUCGUCAGGAGAGUUGGCAGACAUGUAUUUUACUUUGCGGCAGGAUGUAGUGCCCGUAAAGCAGCAUGAAUGUACAGAAAACGCUUUCCCAACAGGCGUCAUCCUAACUGGAAGAAGUUUAUCUGCGUGGAUACUAACAUACGAGAGACGUAGUCGUUCACCCCACAGAAAGCCCGCCAAGGUUCCCUCCAAAGACACAUCCGAACACCAAACAUUGAGGAGAUGGUCUCGGAUCCUGUGACCCAGCACCCGGUGCCCAACAAUAAACACCGAUCAACUUGCCCGUGAAAGUCACACUUCGAGGGAUGCAUUGUGGAGAGUACUGGUGAAACAGACGCACUGGGAUCAACGAAAUUUGAACCCCACUUUCACUUCCGUCAAUGGAUUAUCUACCACAGUACUGUAGUGCCGAACUUCGUGCAGUUCGUAUGUUCACCUGUGCUGGUGUUUUCAACCGCUGCAACAGCCAUGUCUGGAAUGAGGAAAAUCACCAUUCCACGCACUUCGGUGAGCAGCAGCGAUUCUCUGUCAACGAAUAAGAGGGCGUUGUUGAAGAUCACCUAAUAGGAUACUAUCUGAUGCUUCCCUGAAUUACUGGUCCACGUUACGUUGUGUUCCUGCGAGAUGUGCUGCCACAGUUCUUGGAGAAUGUAUGCCCAGUUGUCCGCUAAAGGAUGUGGUUUCAACACGACGGUGCACGAGCCCACUGGGGUCUAUACACCUCUGUAAUUCUUGCUCUGGGCCUACGCCCAGCCGUUGUGUAUGAAACACGGUAGACAUGGAUGAAGAUAUGCUUGCUAUGGUCCAAGCUGGCUGUCUCCCAGCACAAUAGACACUAGAGAUCUUUCAGAGAGUGCGGCAGAACUUCAUGCCACGCAGCCAUGCAUGCAUUGCGACUGCGGUCGUCAAUUUGGUUCAAAUGGUUCAAAUGGCUCUGAGCACUACCCGACUUAACUUCUGAGAUCAUCAGUCGCCUAGAACUUAGAACUAAUUAAACCUAACUAACCUAAGGGCAUCAUACACAACCAUGCCCGAGGCAGGAUUCGAACCUGCAACCGUAGCAGUCGCUCGGCUCCAGACUGUAGCGCCUAGAACCGCACGGCCACUUCGGCCGGCGGUCAUCAUUUUGAACAAUUACUAUAAGCUAUGUUGUUGUUCUUAUGCGGUGUUUACUGAAUAAGUCCAAAAAGCAAUAAAAAUGCAUUUCCGACCAUUUGCUACCUGUCUCUACAUAAAAUGUUGUGGAUCAACUAUCACCUGUCUCAUUUUGAUAUCCUGUAUUAACUAAGUAGGGAGGCAACAAAGUUUUUAUCUUUAACAACUGAUGAGAAAUACAUCAUAUGGAAGCUGUGUGGGAAAGUAUAUAUAUUAGACAGUCAGGCAGAGCAGUAGCAAUUAGAUUAGCUGAAUAUGCUGAAGAUUAACGAAGAAUAAAUAAAAUUUCGCUGAUUGCCUUUCAGCAGAAAACCAUUCCUAUGACAUACUACGUUCAGAAAAGGUGAAAGUUGCCCUACAGCCAAUACUGAAAAUCAACAAAUGUAUGAUCUAAGAUGCCAGCUUAGUACUGAAUGAUCAGAAUGAAUUUCGUGUUUCAUGUAUAUUGACUUAAGUUUUCUUCACAAAUACUAGAUUGAAAUUGUAAAUUCUAUUUAUCCGUCAACAGCUGUUAAAUAUACAAUAGCUCCAUACAAAGAAUUAUCUUUGUCCCUACUUUGUAAAUGUUUUUAUUUGUAAUGAAAUGAAAUGUGCAUAUUUUUCUAUGUAGGCACUCUACGUCAUUUUUGUAUCUUCCUUACAAAUCAUA